ACGGAAGGCAGCAGUGAGGAAUAUUGGUCAAUGGGCGGAAGCCUGAACCAGCCAAGUCGCGUGAAGGAAGACGGUUCUAUGGAUUGUAAACUUCUUUUGCAUGAGGGUAAAGUGACCUACGUGUAGGUUAUUGCAAGUAUCAUGUGAAUAAGCAUCGGCUAACUCCGUGCCAGCAGCCGCGGUAAUACGGAGGAUGCGAGCGUUAUCCGGAUUUAUUGGGUUUAAAGGGUGCGUAGGCGGGCUGUUAAGUCAGCGGUGAAAGUUUGCGGCUCAACCGUAAAAUUGCCGUUGAAACUGGCGGUCUUGAGUGUAAACGAGGUAGGCGGAAUGUGAUGUGUAGCGGUGAAAUGCUUAGAUAUGUCACAGAACUCCGAUUGCGAAGGCAGCUUACCAGCAUACAACUGACGCUGAGGCACGAAAGCGUGGGUAUCAAACAGGAUUAGAUACCCUGGUA
rnacentral:rRNA from 1 species